CACCAGCUCUUCAAGUGGUUGGGACUUUUAUUGGGCUUAAAGCGUCCGUAGCCUGUUUGAUAAGUUCCUGGUUAAAUCCGGCAGCUUAACUGUUGGACUGCUAGGAAUACUGUCUUACUAGAGGGCGGGAAAGGUCUGGGGUACUCCGGGGGGAGCGGUGAAAUGUGAUAAUCCUCGGGGGACCACCAGUGGCGAAGGCGCCAGACUGGAACGCGCCUGACGGUGAGGGACGAAAGGUAGGGGAACGAACGGGAUUAGAUACCCCGGUAGUCCUACCCGUAAACGAUGCGCUCUAGAUGUCGGUUCUGCUCCGAGCAGUGCCGGUGCCACAGGGAAACCGUUAAGAGCGCCGCCUGGGAAGUACGCUCGCAAGAGUGAAACUUAAAGGAAUUGACGGGGAGCACCACAAGGGGUGAAGCCUGCGGUUU
rnacentral:rRNA from 1 species